GACCAAAACAGAAAACAACAUCAGCAGACUGGAAGACUCUAGUACGUUAACAGCUACGAAGUGCUCGGGAGAGUGCCUGGGCCAGAACCAAAGCCAGGUGGUCACCAACAACUUCAGCCUCGUUCACUCCACACCUGAGGGCUGCAACCAAACGCUGCUAAGCCAAGUCCACCUCCAGGCCCCGCUCUGUUUUUCACCAAAGGUGAAGGAAGAAGAAGCCAAACGAUGCCCUGCACAUGGCUCUGCCUCAGGAGCUGUGGAACAGAACUGCCUUUCUUACAGACUUGUUGGGGAGAUGAGCCAUGUGUAUACAAGGUUGGUGUUUUGAGGAGUCGUUGGGGUCUUUAAAAAGGAGCCCUUCAGUCACUGAGCCUGCCCCUGAGGGGCGACUGGGGGACUGCACACUUUCU
rnacentral:lncRNA from 1 species